rnacentral:rRNA from 1 species
CCUACGGGAGGCAGCAGUGAGGAAUAUUGGUCAAUGGACGAGAGCCUGAACCAGCCAAGUAGCGUGAAGGAUGACUGCCCUACGGGUUGUAAACUUCUUUUAUAUGGGAAUAAAAUGUUCCACGUGUGGGAUUUUGUAUGUACCAUAUGAAUAAGGAUCGGCUAACUCCGUGCCAGCAGCCGCGGUAAUACGGAGGAUCCGAGCGUUAUCCGGAUUUAUUGGGUUUAAAGGGAGCGUAGGUGGGUUGUUAAGUCAGUUGUGAAAGUUUGCGGCUCAACCGUAAAAUUGCAGUUGAUACUGGCAGUCUUGAGUACAGUAGAGGUGGGCGGAAUUCGUGGUGUAGCGGUGAAAUGCUUAGAUAUCACGAAGAACUCCGAUUGCGAAGGCAGCUCACUGGACUGCAACUGACACUGAGGCUCGAAAGUGUGGGUAUCAAACAGGAUUAGAUACCCGGGUAGUC